GACGUAGGGGGCUAGCGUUACUCGGAAUUACUGGGCGUAAAGCGCAUGUAGGCGGUACAGUAAGUUGAGGGUGAAAUCCCGGGGCUCAACCCCGGAACUGCCCUCAAAACUGCUGAACUAGAGUUCGGUAGAGGUUGAUGGAAUUCCUAGUGUAGAGGUGAAAUUCUUAGAUAUUAGGAGGAACACCGGAGGCGAAAGCGAUCAACUGGGCCGAUACUGACGCUGAGAUGCGAAAGCGUGGGGAGCAAACAGG
rnacentral:rRNA from 1 species